UCUUAUUUCUCAUUCUUCUUUUCUCGCCUUUUUCUUCUUUGGCGAUUUCGUGAUUUGUUUGAGAGACUGUGAAUUCGAAAACAAACUUAGGGGAAAUUUUAAGAUAUGAUUGUUGGUGUUGUUGCUGGUUUUGGUUGAGAAAGAAAAUAAGAAGAGAUGAUAUCUGAAGAAAUCAGAAGUUAGGGUUUUGUGAUUGAUUAUGAGUUCAUGAAUUGAUAGGUUUAGUAGAUUGGCGGAAAAUGAAGAUGAAAAGGGUAGAUGUUUAAUUGAAGUUAUGAAGUUGUUUCAGUGAAGGAUCGAAAGGUUAGGGUGUCUGCAAAUUGAAAUUCAAUUUAGGGUUCAUGUGAAUUGCAGAAAAUAUUGAGAAUAAGAAAUUAAUGGAAGGGUUUUGUUUAAAAUGAAGAGAAGAGGAGGAUUAUGACGCUAAUUUACAGAUCCAAUUACUAAGAAGAAGAAUUGGAAUCAAAUUCUCGAUUCACAAUGAAGAAAAGGUAAUUAAGGUUUCGUUGAUUUGAUUUAGUCUUAUUUGAAAUUGGAUAAUAGUUGAUGAUUCUUAGAUGGGUCUGUUUAGAUUGAUGUUGAAUCAGUUAUAUUGAGUUUUGUUUAAUUUUAAUUGUGAGUUUGAGAAUUACAGACUAGGGUUCCUGAGUUGGAAACUACUAAAUUUCACUGAUUGGUCUCAUGCGUUUAUGAAUGAACUGGAAUUGAGAUAUUUCUUUGAUUGAGAACUGGUAAUACAAGUGGUGGUAGUGUUGUUGUUAUUGAUUUGGUAAUAAAGAUUAUGGUGUUGUGUUGGUGAUGGUGGAUAUGAUUGUUGCAGGACACGAAUACUGCUCUGAUUAUAAUUAGAAUUUUAAGUGGUGGUGGUCUGGUAAGGUACAUGGUUGGAGAUGGAAGUAAGUAAAUGUACAAGAGCAUAAUAGUUUGAGUUGAGUGUUCGGCAGUGUGUUAACCGAGUUUCAGUUGAAGUUGAUUUUAAUGAUUGAGACUCAGUUUGGUUGUACAAGGUUGUUGGUGUUGAAAUGAGAAGUGAAUUGGGUUUGGUGGUGCUGGAAUGGUUAUCGCAGAUUUAAUCAGUGUGUUUGUUGCAGAUGAAGAAGUUGUUUACAUUAGAGUUGAACUGUUGGAACUAGCGUUAGUGGUAGUAAAUGAAUGAACUGUAAGUGGUAGAAUGAAUAUCUUUAGUUUGGUGGUUUCAAUGAAGGCUUGCUUAGAGCUGCAAUUGCAGUUAAUCAUUAUUAACGACGAUCGAUUCAAAGGAUGAACCAGUGGAACUUGGAUCUCAAGGUAUGCGUGGUUUGUUAUCAAAAGAGUUUCAGAUACAGAUCAGAGUUGCGCAGCGGGAGCUUCGAGGGGUUGACUUCGUUAAUUUGUUAACUUCUGAUAUAUUUAUUAUGUUUGCAAACCAAAUGACUAUUGUAUAUGUAUCAUUUGAGAGGAAUUCUUAUUUAUGUAUUUCUGAGCGAGGCUAUUUUUGGGUUAAGCUUUGUAGCAGAUUUGUUAAUUGAAUGUUAAGUAAAUGUUUUA